GAAUGGCUUCCUACAGAGCUGGGCUCAGCCUGCAGCCCUGCUCUUGGAGUGACUCACCUCCCAUAGCCUUGCAGGCAGAAGCAGCCUGGUCCCUGGCUGUCCAGGAAGAGGGAGUGCAGCCCAAGAGGCAGGUGCCUGGCAGCUGCCCGUGGAUGCCAGCCCUGUGAACUGGCCUGGGAGGAAGUGCUUGU